rnacentral:lncRNA from 1 species
GGUAUUUAAAAAUAUUUUAAAGUCUGGUAAUACCAGAUUAAGUGGAUUUGCUUCUCCUACCCCAGGUCUGUAUUUAAAUCAGUGACCUUCAGCUGAAACUUUAAUAAAAGUCAUGAAUUUUAUUUGCUGCAUUGCAUUCACCCACUGUUCCAUGACUAAUGCCAAAUAGGAGUUUAGAGAUGUGAAGAGCAGUCCCAUGAGACCCAGACUUUCACACAGAAGUUGCGCUUAUCUCCAAAUACCGUAGCAAUCGCAAGCCAGUUCCCAAUGUUUGGAAUCACAGCAAUUGCUCAAGAUUUGGACCUAAACUCUGAGGACAGACUGAAGGGAUCAACAGAUGAGAAACAUAUUACUACAACAUUAGUUAGCAGAAAGUCACCAUCAAUCCACAAACACCACUGUCAUGUCACAUGCCGAUUGCCCUAAUCUGACACUGAACUGACAUAAACCAAAUGACCCGCGUGUCAGAUGUGCAGCCGUUCGCAGCGUCGCUCAAGGUACGGUUUCACUCUUGGCAAGCUACGCACAGCUACCGAAGCAUGUUAGCAAUUAGGGAAGUUCACUAUUUGGCUGCAAGAAAUAAGAGUUGCAGAUCUUCACCUCAGCUGAAAAUGGAUCACUGUCGUAGCUGACAUUUGGCUCUCCUGAAACAUUUUCCCACUGGGUACUUUGUCAUAGCGUAUUGCUUAGGAAGAAAAUCUCCUACAGAAACAAGAGACAGUCAUUGAUCGCAGUCACCACUCCUUCAUGAAUAAUCGUCGUUCACUUCAAAGAGGGCUCUGAAGUAAAAGGACACAUAGAGCACUAACAGUCAGAUAAUAACAUUCAUUUUGCUUUCCGGAGCUCCCUCUGGGGACCUUCCCUCAACUUCUUCCUCUGUCUCUCAGUCCGUUCCUCACUGCAGCCUCUGAUUUUGACCACUGCACCCAUCUGAAUUUUAUGUCACGCAUGUAAAGAGACCAUGGCUCCACCUGCUUUACGGCUAAAGCAUAUACUUCUUUCUCGUUAGCACACAUCAGAUGGAAUUAAACUUUUCAACAGUUUGGGAAACUGAUGCGAAUGGGAUCCAUAUGUUUAAAAUAAAACUCAGUAUUUUGUUUACA